rnacentral:rRNA from 1 species
GACGGAAGGUGCAAGCGUUGCUCGGAAUCACUGGGCGUAAAGGGUGCGUAGGCGGCUUCGCAAGUCAGGCGUGAAAUCCCCGGGCUUAACCUGGGAAUGGCGUCUGAAACUACGGAGCUGGAGUGUGGCAGAGGGAGGUAGAAUUCCACGUGUAGCGGUGAAAUGCGUAGAUAUGUGGAGGAAUACCGAUGGCGAAGGCAGCCUCCUGGGCCAACACUGACGCUCAUGCACGAAAGCGUGGGGAGCAAACAGG